CCCCUAGAUGUUCUGGGCCGCACGCGCGCUACACUGAACAGUUCAACAAGUCUUAACCUUGGCCGAUAGGUCUGGGUAAUCUUUGAACGCUGUUCGUGAUUGGGAUAGACCUUUGCAAUUAUGGGUCUUCAACGAGGAAUUCCUAGUAAACGCAAGUCAUCAGCUUGCAUUGAUUACGUCCCUGCCCUUUGUACACACCGCCCGUCGCACCUACCGAUUGAAUGGUCCGGUGAAAUCUCGGGACGGCUGCUUGGUCGCUUGCGUCCGACUGCUGAAACUUGAUUAAACCAUAUCAUUUAGAGGAAGGUGAAGUCGUANCA
rnacentral:rRNA from 1 species